ensembl:lncRNA RPL23AP7 ribosomal protein L23a pseudogene 7
AGGGAGUGCGCAUGCGGCCGAGUGCGGGACUGGGGCUCCUGGCUGUGGGUGUGGUACCGAGGCUUCAGCGGGUGCCGCCCGCCUAGAGGGAGUGGAGCGGUGAGCACGUCAGGGGUGGGGGGCGCAGGUCAAGCUUUCACCAGUUUUUAAUUCUUUGAUGGGGUAAAUUUGAGCAAUUUUCUCGACUUGUCGACAUUCGUUAUUAACUGAGCAGGAAUCAGGAGAGGAACCCGGUCCUCUCCACACAGCCCAGCAGAGAGCCUACGACUAGAUUUGCAUCUUUACGUCCUGCGCGGAGGCUGCUACACACAUGCAGAAGUCAUGCUGGUGGCCUGGACAGUGAAGGGAGAGAAGUGGAUUUGGGAGACAUUUAGGAGGAACAGUAAGAGGACCUUGUGCAUGAAUAAUUUGUUUCCACACUACAGAAAGAAUCCCAGACUUCUUAGAGAACCCAGUGACUUUUUGCACCUUAAAUCUGUGAAAUCCUCAUGUUUUCUUCUGCCGUAUCCAUAGUUCAAACAAAGAUGAGGCAAAGCUAGAUGCAUUCCUGAAGGAACCCAAGAAAUUCCUCUCUUUAUUUCUCUGGAAUGAAAUGAAUUCUCUAGACCACCAGUUCUAACCUUCAAAAACCAAACCUGUUUGUGAGAUCUCCUUCAAAUACUACUGUAGACCCCAGUGUUUAUUCAUUAAAUUUUUAAAAUAUUUGUUUUAUUUGGAAUCCAUGUAUUUGUAAUUUUAGUGUUUGUAUUAAUAUAAGGGAGAAAUGUUUAAAUCUG